rnacentral:rRNA from 1 species
GACGAACGCUGGCGGCAGGCCUAACACAUGCAAGUCGAACGAAGUCUUCGGACUUAGUGGCGGACGGGUGAGUAACACGUGGGAACGUGCCUUUAGGUUCGGAAUAACUCAGGGAAACUUGUGCUAAUACCGAAUGUGCCCUUCGGGGGAAAGAUUUAUCGCCUUUAGAGCGGCCCGCGUCUGAUUAGCUAGUUGGUGAGGUAAAGGCUCACCAAGGCGACGAUCAGUAGCUGGUCUGAGAGGAUGAUCAGCCACAUUGGGACUGAGACACGGCCCAAACUCCUACGGGAGGCAGCAGUAGGGAAUUUUCCACAAUGGGCGAAAGCCUGAUGGAGCAACGCCGCGUGCAGGAUGAAUGCCUUCGGGUUGUAAACUGCUUUUAUCUGUGACGAAUAUGACGGUAGCAGAUGAAUAAGGAUCGGCUAACUCCGUGCCAGCAGCCGCGGUAAUAC